AUGGAUCUGAUGAGCCUUUCCCCAGAUUAUCGACUAUGAUUAUACUGUGCGCUAUAUUUGUUUUUCUCUUUCUUUGGAAGAGAAAUCAAGCCAGAAGCUCUGAUCCUU